rnacentral:rRNA from 1 species
UGGCGGACGGGUGAGUAAUGCUUGGGAAUCUAGCUUAUGGAGGGGGAUAACUACGGGAAACUGUAGCUAAUACCGCGUAGAAUCGAGAGAUGAAAGUGUGGGACCUUCGGGCCACAUGCCAUAGGAUGAGCCCAAGUGGGAUUAGGUAGUUGGUGAGGUAAAGGCUCACCAAGCCGACGAUCAGUAGCCGACCUGAGAGGGUGACCGGCCACAUUGGGACUGAGACACGGCCCAA